GACGAACGCUGGCGGCGUGCUUAACACAUGCAAGUCGAACGGAAAGGCCCUGCUUUUUUUGGGUGCUCGAGUGGCGAACCGGUGAGUAACACGUCAGUAGCCUGACCUGCACUUUGGGAUAACUUCAGCACACUGAGGCUAAUACCGUAUAGGAGCUCCUGCUUCAUUGUGGGGGUUGGAAAGUGUCGGCGGUUGGGUAGGUACUCGGGGCUUAUCAGGUCGUUGAUCGGGUAGUGGCUUACCAAGGCUUUGAAGGGUAGCCGGCCUGAGAGGGUGACCGGCACGAUUGGGACUGAGAUACGGGCCAGCAGUCUAGGGGAGGGAGCAGUGGGGAAAAGUGUGCUGCGGGGAGAAGGCGGAUGCAGUGGAGCCGCGCGCGGUAUGACGGCCUUCGGGUUGUAAACCGCUUUCGCCUGUUAUGAAGCGUGAGUGACGGUAAUGGGUAAAGAAGCACCGGCUAACUACGUG
rnacentral:rRNA from 1 species